AGAGUUUGAUCCUGGCUCAGAAUGAACGCUGGCGGCGUGCCUAACACAUGCAAGUCGGAUGUGCCGCAAGGUGCAUGGCAGACGGGUGAGUAACGCGUAGGGAAUCUACCUUUUUGUGGGGAAUAACGCUCCGAAAGGAGUGGUAAUACCGCAUGAGACCGCAGACUGGGAUGUUUGUGGUGAAACCUGGGGACCGCAAGGCCUGGGGCAAGAAGAGGAUCCUGCGUCUGAUUAGCUAGUUGGCGGGGUAAUGGCCCACCAAGGCGACGAUCAGUAGCCGGCCUGAGAGGGUGAUCGGCCACACUGGAACUGAGACACGGUCCAGACUCCUACGGGAGGCAGCAGUGGGGAAUUUUGCGCAAUGGACGAGAGUCUGACGCAGCAACGCCGCGUGGGUGAUGAAGG
rnacentral:rRNA from 1 species